CGAACGGCCGCUCGGUGGUCUCGGUGGCGCACUGCUCGGUGCGUGUGUAGUGGUAGUGCCCGAACGUUUUUAGGGUCAAUCGGACGUUUUAGAGUAUUGCACUACUCAGUGCUAUCGUGUUUUUAGUCUUGCGAGGAUUUGAGUGAAAGCGCUCAGCAGCAACCCGUUGUGUUCGAUCUUUUUCUUGGAAGGCCGGAGUAACAAAAAAAUCCAUCCACCAUGGACGCGAUUAAGAAGAAGAUGCAGGCGAUGAAGCUGGAGAAGGACAAUGCCGCCGACAAAGCCGAUACCUGCGAGAACCAGGCCAAGGAGGCCAACCUCCGUGCCGACAAGAUCAUGGAGGAGGUCGCUGAGCUGACCAAGCGUCUGACCCAGGUCACCGAGGACCACGAGAAGUUCAAGAACACCCUGGAGCAGGCCAACAAGGACCUCGAGGAGAAGGAAAAGCUGCUGACCUCCACCGAGGCCAACGUGGCCGCCCUGACCCGCAAGGUCCAACAGGUUGAGGAGGAUCUGGAAAAAUCCGAGGAACGCUCGGGCGCCGCUCUGUCCAAGCUGCUGGAGGCCACCCAAUCCGCUGAUGAGAACAACCGUAUGUGCAAGGUAUUGGAGAACCGUUCCCAGCAGGAUGAGGAGCGUAUGGACCAACUGAGCAACCAGCUGAAGGAAGCCCGUAUGCUCGCUGAAGACGCUGACGGCAAGUCUGAUGAAGUGUCCCGCAAGCUGGCCUUCGUUGAAGACGAGCUGGAAGUCGCUGAAGACCGUGUCAAGUCCGGUGAGGCCAAGAUCAUGGAGUUGGAAGAAGAGUUGAAGGUCGUCGGUAACUCGCUCAAGUCUCUGGAGGUCUCGGAAGACAAGGCCAACCAGAGAGUCGAGGAAUUCAAGCGCCAGCUGAAGUCCCUCACCAUCAAGCUGAAGGAGGCCGAGACUCGUGCCGAAAACGCCGAAAAGAACGUCAAGAAGCUCCAGAAGGAAGUCGACAGACUAGAAGACAAAUUGAUGAACGAGAAGGACAAGUACAAAGCGAUCUGCGACGACCUGGACUCCACCUUCGCCGAACUUACCGGAUACUAAUUUCUCCAAUCUACUACCACUACUAUUACUACUAGCUACUACUAGCGCUGCUAUUACUACUACAGCCAUCACCACCAGCUUGCACAUACGUAAACCAACCACCAACAAACAACAAACAUAUGAGACAACUCAAAUCCAAGGAGAAGCGGUUCGGUUCGUUCCAUUUCUUUUGUCUCGCUCACACUCUCUGUUCUACUACACUACCACCAUCACCACCGUGUCUGUUGCCGUCUAAGUGUUGGAGUCCGUGUCCACGAUCGUGUAACCCCGUACAGUAGUAGUGGGACCGAUACAAAGCACCAGGGUGUAUCUGUUCCCUUCCUUCAUGUUCUCUGAUGUUUUCCCCAAGUGAAUCGGAUGUUGUUACGAUUCUUCUCACAUUGGCGAGAAAGUGAUUAAUGUUGCGUUCAAUAGACGAAUUGGGCGUCAACAAGGACAGAUACAAGUCUCUGGCCGACGAGAUGGACUCGACCUUCGCCGAGUUGGCCGGAUACUAGGAGAAAUUGUCAACUUUUCUACGUACUGCUUUAACUUUAUAUAGAAUCAACUACUGAUACAAACAAGCUAUAUACUAAAAAAAAACACCAAGAAAACGGUUUGAUUUAGAACUUUUCCUCGUGGUCCCACUGCAGAAGCAAUGCACUAAACGAUCGCACCAUCAACAGCACCACCACCACCACCACCGCUAGAUAGUAGCAGCGAAGAACGAAGAACUACAGAGAGAUAUUGAAAUGAACGCUCCGAAACUCCUCUUCAAAAAAAAAAUACCGAAAUCAGAACAUCCGAUCCCUUUUUUCGAUUGUUUCAAGAGCAAGCAGCUUAAAAAUUCAUGUUUUAUCAUUAGAAAAGUAUUAGGCCGUAAUUUAUCGCAUCAUUUGAUUAGUAAGUAAGAAACCGUCAUUCUUUCUAAUUAAGAUUACACACAGAAACGUAUUGUUGUUGUUGUUGCAGCCAAGAAACAAGUUCAUGGUCAGAAGCAAACAAGUGAAGAUAAAAUUGAGAACCAUCUAAUAUGUAGGAAUUAUAUCGUAACAAAAAUAAGUUUUAGUACCCUAUUCGUUGGAAGAUUUGUUUAGGAAAAAAAAAACACACACAUUUAGAACAACCGAUGACGGAGCCAGAAACGGAAACAUCCAGACAUAAUCGAUUCGGGAAAUUGUUGGUGUUAGGUAAUGUGCUGGAGCAACACCAAUCAGCCAGAAACAAAAGAAAAAACGUCGAUGCACUCAAAACGGAAGUCAUGUAUUAUUACUAUCUUUUAAUAAAAAAAAAUGUUAAAACAAAAAUCCCAAACAUCUACAACUCGAUGGGAAAACUGUCUGCUCUGAUUCGGUUCGUGUGCCUUGGGGGCACCCGACAACCGAGUUGUGUACUAGAAUCCUCUAUUUCUCUAUUUUUAUUAGAAGAAAUCGAAAAAAAACCUAUUUAUUGUAAUGCUAAGUUUUGAUUUAUUUUUGUAUAAUAAACGUUUAAUUAUUAGCUAAGGUA